rnacentral:rRNA from 1 species
UACGUAGGGUGCAGGCGUUAAUCGGAAUUACUGGGCGUAAAGCGUGCGUAGGCGGUUUGUUAAGACAGGUGUGAAAUCCCCGGGCUUAACCUGGGAACUGCGCUUGUUACUGGCAGACUGGAGUGUGGCAGAGGGGGGUGGAAUUCCAGGUGUAGCAGUGAAAUGCGUAGAUAUCUGGAGGAACACCGAUGGCGAAGGCAGCCCCCUGGGCUAACACUGACGCUGAGGAGCGAAAGCGUGGGGAGCGAACAGG